rnacentral:rRNA from 1 species
AAUAUUGGACAAUGGGGGAAACCCUGAUCCAGCCAUGCCGCGUGAGUGAUGAAGGCCUUCGGGUUGUAAAACUCUUUCGCGCACGACGAUAAUGACGGUAGUGCGAGAAGAAGCUCCGGCUAACUUCGUGCCAGCAGCCGCGGUAAUACGAAGGGGGCUAGCGUUGUUCGGAAUUACUGGGCGUAAAGCGCGCGCAGGCGGCUAUCCAAGUCAGUGGUGAAAGCCCGGAGCUUAACUCCGGAACUGCCAUUGAAACUGUUUAGCUGGAGUAUGAGAGAGGUGAGUGGAAUUCCCAGUGUAGAGGUGAAAUUCGUAGAUAUUGGGAAGAACACCGGUGGCGAAGGCGGCUCACUGGCUCAUUACUGACGCUCAGGCGCGACAGCGUGGGGAUCAAAC